rnacentral:rRNA from 1 species
UACGUAGGGUGCAAGCGUUGUCCGGAAUUAUUGGGCGUAAAGAGCUCGUAGGCGGUCUGUCGCGUCUGCUGUGAAAACCUGGGGCUUAACCCCGGGCCUGCAGUGGGUACGGGCAGACUAGAGUGCGGUAGGGGAGACUGGAAUUCCUGGUGUAGCGGUGAAAUGCGCAGAUAUCGGGAGGAACACCUAUGGCGAAGGCGGCUCUCUGGGCCUUACCUGACGCUGAGACGCGAAAGCGUGGGGAGCGAACCGG